GACGAACGCUGGCGGCGUGCUUAACACAUGCAAGUCGAACGGAAAGGCCCUGCUUUUGUGGGGUGCUCGAGUGGCGAACGGGUGAGUAACACGUGAGUAACCUGCCCUUGACUUUGGGAUAACUUCAGGAAACUGGGGCUAAUACCGGAUAGGAGCUCCUGCUGCAUGGUGGGGGUUGGAAAGUUUCGGCGGUUGGGGAUGGACUCGCGGCUUAUCAGCUUGUUGGUGGGGUAGUGGCUUACCAAGGCUUUGACGGGUAGCCGGCCUAAGAGGGUGACCGGCCACAUUGGGACUGAGAUACGGCCCAGACUCCUACGGGAGGCAGCAGUGGGGAAUAUUGCACAAUGGGCGGAGGCCUGAUGCAGCAACGCCGCGUGCGGGAUGACGGCCUUCGGGUUGUAAACCGCUUUCGCCUGUGACGAAGCGUGAGUGACGGUAAUGGGUAAAGAAGCACCGGCUAACUACGUG
rnacentral:rRNA from 1 species